AUUUAGGUAGCGCCUCGUGAACUCAUCUUCGGGGGUAGAGCACUGUUUCGGCUAGGGGGCCAUCCCGGCUUACCAACCCGAUGCAAACUACGAAUACCGAAGAAUGUUAUCACGGGAGACACACGGCGGGUGCUAACGUCCGUCGUGAAGAGGGAAACAACCCAGACCGCCAGCUAAGGUCCCAAAGUCAUGGUUAAGUGGGAAACGAUGUGGGAAGGCACAGACAGCCAGGAUGUUGGCUUAGAAGCAGCCAUCAUUUAAAGAAAGCGUAAUAGCUCACUGGUCGAGUCGGCCUGCGCGGAAGAUGUAACGGGGCUAAACCAUGCACCGAAGCUGCGGCAGCGACACUUAUGUGUUGUUGGGUAGGGGAGCGUUCUGUAAGCCGUUGAAGGUGUGCUGUGAGGCAUGCUGGAGGUAUCAGAAGUGCGAAUGCUGACAUAAGUAACGAUAAAGCGGGUGAAAAGCCCGCUCGCCGGAAGACCAAGGGUUCCUGUCCAACGUUAAUCGGGGCAGGGUGAGUCGACCCCUAAGGCGAGGCCGAAAGGCGUAGUCGAUGGGAAACAGGUUAAUAUUCCUGUACUUGGUGUUACUGCGAAGGGGGGACGGAGAAGGCUAUGUCAGCCGGGCGACGGUUGUCCCGGUUUAAGCAUGUAGGCGGAGGUUCCAGGUAAAUCCGGUACCUUGUUAACGCUGAGGUGUGAUGACGAGGCACUACGGUGCUGAAGUGAUAAAUGCCCUGCUUCCAGGAAAAGCCUCUAAGCAUCAGGUAACACGAAAUCGUACCCCAAACCGACACAGGUGGUCAGGUAGAGAAUACCAAGGCGCUUGAGAGAACUCGGGUGAAGGAACUAGGCAAAAUGGUGCCGUAACUUCGGGAGAAGGCACGCUGAUGUGUAGGUGAAGCCCCUGCGGGUGGAGCUGAAAUCAGUCGAAGAUACCAGCUGGCUGCAACUGUUUAUUAAAAACACAGCACUGUGCAAACACGAAAGUGGACGUAUACGGUGUGACGCCUGCCCGGUGCCGGAAGGUUAAUUGAUGGGGUUAGCGGCAACGCGAAGCUCUUGAUCGAAGCCCCGGUAAACGGCGGCCGUAACUAUAACGGUCCUAAGGUAGCGAAAUUCCUUGUCGGGUAAGUUCCGACCUGCACGAAUGGCGUAAUGAUGGCCAGGCUGUCUCCACCCGAGACUCAGUGAAAUUGAACUCGCUGUGAAGAUGCAGUGUACCCGCGGCAAGACGGAAAGACCCCGUGAACCUUUACUAUAGCUUGACACUGAACACUGGUCCUUGAUGUGUAGGAUAGGUGGGAGGCUUUGAAGCGUGGACGCCAGUCUGCGUGGAGCCGACCUUGAAAUACCACCCUUUAAUGGCUGGUGUUCUAACGUAGACCCGUAAUCCGGGUUGCGGACAGUGUCUGGUGGGUAGUUUGACUGGGGCGGUCUCCUCCCAAAGAGUAACGGAGG
rnacentral:rRNA from 1 species